AUGUCCAAAGCAUUCACCAAGUCCCUCCUCUUGUACAACAAGAUCCUCAUCCGGCGGCUCAAGUCUCUCAUCACCCGUGCGCCACCCGCGCCGGCGUCGGCCACCGAGAGGCUGCCACCCUCACACAAGCACGAGUCGUCGACGGCGCCGCUGGACGCGCUCCCGGCGCCAGGGACGACGGACGAUGACAACGAUAAUGGUGGCCGUGCUGGCGGCGGCACCAUCGUGUGCGAGGUGGAAGGCGGCCUGCUGAUGUCCUCCUCCACCUUCCCCUACUUCAUGCUCGUGGCCCUCGAGGCCGGCGGGCUUCUCCGCGGCCUCCUCCUGCUCCUGCUCUACCCUCUCCUCCGCCUCCUCACGGACGAGCUCGCCAUGAAGGCCAUGGUGAUGGUGACCUUCGCGGGGCUCCGGAAGGACGCGUUUGGCCGGCUGGGCAUGGCCGUCAUGCCCAAGCUGUUCCUGCAGGACGUGAGCGCCGAGGUGUUCCACGCGGCCACGUCUGCUCCAGUGACGUCAGGGGGCGCGCGGCGGCGAAGGCGCUGCGUCUGCGUGAGCAGCAUGCCGAGGGCGAUGGUGGAGCCGUUCUUGAAGGAGUACCUCGCCCUCGACGCCGUCGUCGCGCCGGAGCUGAGGGAGCUCGGAGGGUACUACCUGGGUCUCGUGGAGGAUGAAGGCGAGGUGGCGAGGAGGAUGGACGUGGAGGAGGUCAUUGGGGCCAAGGGCGGCGCCGUCGUCGGCAUUGGUGGACAGGGGUGCUCGUUUCAGCACAUCUUCCAAAAGUACUGCAAGGAGGUGUACGUGCCAACGGAGUCGACGCGGCGGCGGCGCGAGGCGCUGCACCCGCGGCGGUACCCGAAGCCCCUGGUUUUCCACGACGGCCGCACCGCUUUCCGGCCGACGCCCGCCGCCACGCUCGCCAUGUUCAUGUGGCUCCCGCUCGGUGCGCCGCUCGCCGUGCUCCGCACCGCCGUCUUCCUCCUGCUCCCUUUCUCCCUCUCGGUGCCGCUCCUCGCCAGCCUCGGCAUGCACAACCGCAUGAUCGCGUCCUCGUCGCCCUCUGCCGGGGACAAGAGCAAGAGCAACCUCUUCGCGUGCAACCACCGGUCGCUGCUGGACCCGCUGUGCGUGUCCGCGGCCGCCGGCCGGCGCGACCUCUCCGCAGCCACCUACAGCAUCAGCCGCCUGUCGGAGAUGCUCGCGCCGAUCCCCACGUUCCGCCUCACCCGCGACCGCGCCGCCGACCGCGCGGCCAUGCAGGCACAGCUCGCCCGCCGCGGGCUGGUGGUGUGCCCGGAGGGGACGACGUGCAGGGAGCCGUUCCUGCUGCGGUUCAGCCCGCUGUUCGCGGAGCUUGCCGCCGGCGGCGUGGACGUGGUGCCCGUGGCGCUGCACCUGGCGGUGGACAUGUUCCACGGCACGACGGCGCGGGGCAGGAAGAUGCUGGACCCUCUGUACCUGCUGAUGAACCCCGUGCCGUCCUACCUCGUGCAGUUCCUCGACCCCGUCGAGUGCGGCGGCCAGGAGGCGCGCGCGGUGGCGAACGAGGUGCAGCGCCGGGUUGCGGAGGCGCUCGGGUACGAGCGCACCGGGCUGACAAGGAGGGACAAGUACCUCAUCCUCGCCGGCAACGAAGGGGUCGUCGGCGCCGCCCAGGACGGCGGCACGAAGAAUUAG
rnacentral:rRNA from 1 species